GUAAUUUCUUUUUUUUUUUUUUAAGGAUUGGCACCUGGGCUAUCAACUGUUGCCAAUCUUUUUUUUUUUUUUCCUGCUUUAUCUCCCCAAAACCCCCCUGUACACAGUUGUAUAUCUUAAUUGCAGGUCCUUCUAGUUGUGGGAUAUGGGACGCCGCCUCAACAUGGCCUGACGAGUGGUGCCAUGUCCGCGCCCAGGAUCCGAACCCUGGGCCGCCGCAGCGGAGCGCACGAACUUAACCACUCAGCCACGGAGCCAGCCCCCGUAAUUUCUUAUUUUUGAAUCUGUCUCCUCCAUUUAAUUGUAUGACCUUUAGUCAAGAGUCUUUGUCUGGUUCAUGUAUAGCUGAGUGCCUGGCACACAGAAAGUAGCUCAAAAAUAAACUGCUUGGAAAAGAAUGGGAGGAAGACAUGGACACAGAAGAUGGAUGACAAGAAGGAAGGAAAAAUGAUAGGGAUGUGGUAGAAAGAGAAAAUAAUAAAGCGUAGAGUUUCUAAGGCCCCAAAACAUGGUCAUAAUCUAGAUAAUUUUUACUAAGUCCUUAAAACAAGUUACAUGAAAUACAAGUACAAGAGCAAAUUCAUGAUUAAAACCUUCCUUUGGAAGAAGAAAAGGCUUAUGCAACCCUUUUGGAGUACAGGCCUGACAAAUGUGGCAUGCUGACAGCAUAUGAUAAAUAAGACUGAUUAAAAAAUUGUUUUUUACAAAGAUAAACAGAAGGUUAAAAUUCCUGGUGAUAAUACUCAAACUAUUAAUAAUUUUGAUUUCAGGUUAAUACUUUCUUGGGGGAAGAAGAGAGGACUGCAGAGGGCAUUCUAAAUAGUUAGAAACCAAUGUAUGACCACUGAUAUUAAUGAUUCUUGGGAAAAUUCAUGAUGUCACUUGCUUUGAACAAUAUGAGGACCAGCUGUAAGUGUAUAGAAUGAAGACUAAUGACUAACUGUUCACAUGCAAAACUCAGACUUGCUGAAGAGGACUUCUUAGGGAAUACCAAAUUGGUAGGUUAAAUUGUUAGCUCAUUUUAAUUAAAAGUGUGAAAAGACAUUGCAUUUUGCAAGAUGAUAUUCAGCCAGCUGUCAAUUCUUAGCUGAAAGAAACUCACCCAAAGAGUUGUUAUGGUGCCAGAGCUUUCAAAUAUAUUUUGCAGGUAUUUUACUGUUGAUUCUUUAUUUUUAAAAGAUGUGUUCAAAGCAUAUUUCGCUAUACUCAAUACAUGGUCCUCAUCAGAAAGUCUCCGAUCAUCUCAUAGUUUACACUUUUUAUCUUUACUUACUUAUCCAAGACAAUACGUUUGUUCACUGUCCUCUUCUCAGAGGAGAGGAGUGUUACCAAUAUGUCCUACUUCCUUGGUGUUUUGGGUUUUUUUUAUUCCCUGGUCAUAUACUUCUGUUGACCAUCUUAUGCUUUUUGGAGAAAAGAGGGCAAGUUGAUGAAAUCUCUUAGUAAGUACUUCAUUCACCUUCAAGAAAAGAUGUCAGAAUAUCUUGGUUGGGCAGUCUCUUAAGUCAACCCCAAUGAGUUUCUGACAUAAUUAGUCAGAUUUUUGCCCAAAACAGACACAAGCUAGCUGAACUCUGCAUGUAGCAGCAGAUGAUACCAAUGAGUUGGAUUUGGAACAACGGUGAAAGUGGCCGCCUUUGAAUCCUGGAUCAUUGGAGUGAUAUCCCACACAGAAGCUGGUCUAGACAAUAGGGGUCGGAGAGCGUUAAUCUGAAGAUUCACCAGACACAAAGCCAUAAAUCUGCCCGAGGGUAGGUAGACUUGCAGCAUUUUCUAUUUGCUCCUCUAAGAAGACUCUAGGCUCUGCCUGAUCCUCCAUUGCCUUUGCCCUGAAAGAUUGAAUUACUCACAACGUCAAAAUUCAGUUUCUUCAGAGCAUCUCAUAUCCAGCAAAGAUGAGAAGGAGAACAAAAGUACCAUCCAUUCACUUCUGAAACUGAGUCAGAAAACCCAAGGGGAGACCUUGUAGAGAUACGAUAUUUGAGUGUUUGAGAUAUUUUGUUUUCCAACAGAGUAAAGCAAGGGAGAUGUUUCUCAUUUUAUACUCGUGUUCCUAAUGAGCAAUGCUGAAAUUUAUCUAAUUGCAGUAUCCGAGUGCUUUUUUUUUUUCUUAAAUGUAUGUUAUGGUAAAAGUUCUUAAUUAAAAUCCACAUUAUAAGGUGUUCACAAGAGAAUACUACCAGUAAGUUGGAUAUCUGCAGUACAUUUUCACAAAAUUCAAUUGUUAAAUAGUAAACCUGAAAAGUUUCCUGCACACAAAAUGAUAGAUUAGGCAAUUGUGCCUGCAAACUCAAAGGCAUCAUUAUAUCUUGUCUGCAAGCACAACUGAUAAAUGAUUUCUCUUGCAAAGGGAUUUUAUAUUUUUGUUUUGACUUUUGUUUCCCCUGAGAUUAACUGGAUUGUCAACGUGUGUGGCUAUAGACUUUAAGAUCAUUUUUCUUCUUCUCUGUCUCUCUCUCUCUUCUUUUAGACAAAGAAAUCUUGGACAUACUAAAUAAGUCACAUCUUUUAACCCUUUCUACUUGUUCUGGCUUGAGAAAACUUCUGUCGUAGGAUGCUCAUUCUAUGGACCGGUUGACAAUUUGAGAUAGCUUCCAGUGCUAGAGCUCCACAAUUAGUAGGCAAUUCCCUGUGUCAAUCAAAGGAAUUCUUUCUUGCACCUCUCCAGAUAAAGUUUGGACUCCUUUAUACUCUUGGGAUCCUCUAUAUGUUGAUAUCACUUAAAAGGGAUACCUUAAUGUGUACAGAAAGAAAUGUUUCAUUUCAUGUGCCAAGAAUGAGUUGCUAGUAGCUUCUUAGAACUCUAUGCUUAGAAGGAUCCUGAGGGUACUUCCUUUCUUAAUAGGAAAGAAUGCCAAGAUCAUCAAGGCUGACUUCUAUAGGAAUGGGAAGUUCACAGGGGCACAAAUUGCCUUUUCACAAUCUGUUCCCUAAUGUGUGUUUUAUAUCGACAGACUUUGUCUUGAACUGCCCACUUUGACCCAUUACUUGCCAAAGUCUCUUAACCAAAGAUUAUUUUCCAGUUUAUCUCUACAUCAGGGAAUAGACCCUGGACACUUACUUCAACCUCAACUUACCUGCAAUGUGGCUUAUUCUCUCUGCUUCAGUUUCCAGGCUAAUUUUGUAAGUAGUUUGUAUUAGAGUAAGUCUACGUGAGAAUUUCAUAAUGAAUUAUGCUCCCCUGAUAAUAUAUUUACAUUCUCAUUCAAAUUUGGGACUUUAAAAAACGUGAGGAAAUGACUUUCCCCCAUCCAUAUGCACCCAGAGUUGUGUGGCUCACUGCAUCAUACCAGAAUGGUCAGUUCCACCUUAUUAGGUCAGCCCUGGAAAUGCAUUCUGACUUUUUCUUUGCUCAUGAAGGCAGUGCUCAAGAAAGUCUUGUAACCUCAGGAUUAAGGCCCUAUAAGAAGUGAACUGUAAACCUAUGCACAAAACGGGCCAGCAUCUUGUAAAUAUAGAGAAAAGAUUUUGGUUGCAAUUUUUGCUACUGUACACUUUGUUGAUUAACACAAGCUCAGCAUUCCACAUUAAACACUCAUGCAGAUUUCAGCUCUUUUAAAAAUUGGUAACCAAGAAACACAGCUUAAGAAACAAACUUCCUACACAAAAAUAACCUGGGAGGAAGGGGAAAGAGUCACAUGUAGUAAAUACACAUUUUAGUCAGCACUAAACAUGAAACAGAUUAAUUAUCCAGAAACAGACAAAAUUGUCCUCUAAAUUGUUCUUCUAGUGCACCGGCUGUCCAUUGACUCAUUAUUAAAUUAUUUGCCAGUCAAUGAAUUUUCUUUUCUUCAAAUGCUUUUUGAGCUGGAAGGAGUUGGCAUUGAUGAAAGGCUUUACGAAAGGAGAAAGGUUAUAUCCACACGAUCCUGAAUCAACUGGUUAUAAAAUUGAAAAUUCUGUUGAACCACAAGGAAGUUUUCUCUAUUCCUCUUGAGCUGGGUCUCUGAAACUCCAAAAGACAUCUUGCUUGUGAUAUCUGAGUCUGGAAAGCAGCUUGCUAGUGUCUAAAAAUGGACAGUAUUUUUGAGUCUCCACACUGGAUUAUAUUUCUCCCAAUGAAGAGUAAAGUAUUUGAACUUCUCUGUAUCUCACCUGUGAAGUGGGGGCUGGAGGUGGUGGAAAUUCUCUCACUUAUUCUGAAAGCAUGUGAGUAAGUUCUCUGUAUUAGGUUUUACUAGGCUUAAUACUACCGAGAGAGAGGGAUAAAUUAUUCCUCUUGGCUGCUCUUAAGUUACCCUGGAAUAAAAAUCAGUUUGAAUUUCUCUUCUGGUGAGUCAAAGGGGUAAAAUUAAAAGAGUCAAAGCACUCCAAUAUGUCAACAAUAAAUUUCCUUCUUCACUGUAGAUGUGUGAAGAGAUCUCAUACUUGCUAAAGGUAUCAAUGAUGUUUUGCGUUUCUACAGCACUUUAGAGGUGCCUUGUAAUUCUAUACAUAUUAUCUAUAUAUAGCUAUAUGAUUGACAGGUAGAUAGAUAUAUAUUGUGUAUCACUUUAUUCUAUACAUGUGACCCAGGUAUUCAGGCUGCGAAUACUUUGUUCUUUCUAUUCCACUACUGAUUUACAAGGAAAUAUCCUCCUGUCUCUUGGAUAAUUUGCCUCCUUAAGAGAACAGAUAAUUUGCAUGAGUGACCCUCAAGUAGGCAAUAGCUAAAAAUAAAAGCAUAACCCAAGUCCUAUGCUUUCAACGUCAGAAGAACAGAACAGGAACACACAUGUAUGACAUCAGGACCCAAGUUUCAUAUAAAGCUGAUUUCAGAAGAAGCACUCAGGGUGUGCAUUAGUAAAUCUUUUCUCUGGUUUUUAGACUCCACUGUCUUCCACACAGGAUGUUUACCUCAGGUUAGCUUUGCUCCUGGUCGUGAAAUGGCUGCUGCACAGUUCCAUGCUUCAUACGUGAAUGAAACAAAAUCUAGCAGAAAAAAAGACUGCCUCGUCCUGAUCUUAAGAGUGAAAACGAACCUGCUUCUGGAAAAGUUCUUUCUGAGAAAUCUCCAAGCCAACCUCUCCUCCUUUUUUAUUGGCCAGAACUAGGUUUCAUGUCCACUCUUAAAAUAAUUUAUUGGCAAGGGGAAUUUUUGAUUGGUUUAGACAAAUUAGGAUCUGCCCUUUAACUGGAGAGAAGGUUCUCUUUCCUGAAGGAUAAUUUGGGGUAAAAAAUGGAGUUCCAUUGAAAAGGAAUAGAACAUUUUGUGAGGGGGUGGGAAAGAAGGCAAACAAUGGUCUGUUAAACAACGCUUCCAGAAGCUAUCAAGAAAUUCCCAUUUUCUAACUUUUCUUGUUUUGAGGAUUCCUUAAGCAAUUCCCCAUUCCACACACCUUCCGAAUAGUUCCAUUUUUGCUUCUUGCCUACACUGCAUUCUAUCACAGAUUUGUUGCUUGUAUAGAAUUUUCUCUUUAAUUUCCUCUUCACUGGGACCUCCAAGCCAAGUCAUUCAGAGUGUUUAGAAGUACCCACUCAGUUGCUAAUUAUUACCGUCUAUUAAUAAUUUAAAUAAAUUUAAAAGCUGAUUAUUACUGAGUAUUUACUGGGUGCCAGGCAUUGUGCUAACUGCUCUGCCCGCAUGAACUUAUUUAACCAUCAUUUUACCUCAGAGGAAGGUACUGUUACUAUUAAUCUUCUUUGAUAGAUGAAGAAACAGCUUCAGAGUGGCUAAGGAACUUGCUCAAGUUCACACAGUUAUAAGCGGCAGAGCAAGUCCUUGAAUCUACACUUAUCUGACUCCACAAUCCACGCUUAACGAUUGCUUGGUAUCUUCUUUCAGAUUAGAAGCCAUAGUGAAUGAGUUGAUAUAAUCAUUGAUCGACUUCCACGUUUAUAAUUACUCAUAGCUCUGGCCUUCCUAAUAGCUCAGUGAGUACAAACAUUAUGAUAUCCUAGCCUCAGAGUUCCUGAGAACAUGGGGUGGUCUGGGGUCAUUACCAGCACAGCUAAAGGUCACCAGAUGAGUGAAUCAGAGGAAGAGCUCAGAACUAAAACAAGAGUCUUCUGACUCCAAGUCGGUGCUCUCACCAUAAAUCAUCAAAUUCCUUAUUCAGGCCACAAACCACUGUUCCAUGAAGUUCAAGACUUCUUAGCUCAUUGUCCAAGUAACCUCCUCCUGGUUCCCUAGUACAUAUUAGGUAAUGAUGUUAACCUUGAUAGAAAGAAGCAAACUCGAUAAAGGAAAGGUGUGGCAUGUUUUCCCAUGACCCCGAGACAAGCCAGAGGUUUUGAAUAAGAACCACAGUCCUAACAGGUAUCCAAAUGCACCUUCCAGGCCCUGGUUACAGAAUCUUUCUGAGAACUCCUGCUCCUCAGAGAAGAGAGGAGGAAGUUAACAGGUUUCACUUUGUCCACGGGACAAGAUUGCUUAUACCGCCUCUGUUUCCCAAUCUAUCAAAAGAGCAUCUGUCAGUCCCACUGAAUGAGACAAAGUAAUGCUGUGUUGCCGGGGAAAGGAGAAAACCAAGUCAAGAGAAGCAAACCAUAUACACCAACUGCUCUAAAUGUGACCUCUAGUCCAAUAACAAAAAGUCCUAAGUUCAGUGUGCUGAGGAAAGAGCAUCCUUACUAAUAGGUGAAGUACAACUUCUCUGUGGGAAAGGGCCCCCACAAAUCAUUGCUUUCUCUUCUCAAGUACCUAUUAGACCCUUUCCAAAAGGUUAAUCAUCUUCACCAUGGGGGACCGCCACUGUGCGAGUCUAAAAUCUAUGACUUGCAAAUGGAGAUUGGCAGGGUGAACCACAAGGUCUGUCAUCUGCACUCACCUCUGGUCACUGGUUCAGAUUCAGGGCAGUCUGCCCCUAUGGCUGGGAGGUGAAAUGAACACUUUGGUAACUGUCAUGAGUGUGGGGGUGCAGGCUUAAUGAGUUGGUGUUCCUUUGGACUUCUACUUGAGGUAUUUGUAUGUUAGAGGGUAAUAUUGGUAUAUUAGAAGACGUUUUGUGCAGACAAAUCAAAGUCUGUAGGGACUGGUCUUAGAAAACCAUCAUAAAUCCAGACCUUUACCUCCUAUCCUUUUGCCCUGCCUAAAUAGUGGAGAAUGCCUCCUCUUAUAACCAUUUGCAACACCUCUGUGAGCAAUCUUUUGCAAAAUUUGUCAUGCCGCAGUUUAACUGUCACUUCUUCAAAGAGAUCUUCUUGAAUCAUUAAUCUGAAGUAGCCAUCCAAUAUUCUUUUCUUCACAGUGCUUAUCUCCAAAUAAUUUUGCCUUCCAUAUGUUUACUACCUCUUUCCCUGCAAGAGAGUGUACACUCUGUGAGAACUGGAGCUUUAUCUUUUGCACCAGCUAAUUUGAGCUUGUCUGCUGGUCAUA
ensembl:lncRNA